GACGAACGCUGGCGGCGUGCUUAACACAUGCAAGUCGAACGGAAAGGCCCUGCUUUUGUGGGGUGCUCGAGUGGCGAACGGGUGAGUAACACGUGAGUAACCUGCCCCUGACUGUGGGAUAACUUCAGGAAACUGGGGCUAAUACCGGAUAGGAGCUCCUGCUGCAUGGUGGGGGUUGGUAAGUUUCGGCGGUUGGGGAUGGACUCGCGGCUUAUCAGCUGGUUGGUAGGGUAGUAGCAUACCAGGGAGUUGCCGCAUAGCUGGGCGGAGAGGCGGACCGGCUACAACGGGAAUGCGACACAGACUCCAAUCCGACGCGAGGGAGGGGAGGGGAACACAGUAGGCUGGGGGCUGGUCUGACAACGCAACGUGGGGGAAGCGAGGAAUGGGGUUGUAAACCAAUGUCGUCUGAGCCGGGACGUGAGUGACGGUACCGGGUGAAGAAGCACCGGCUAACUACGUG
rnacentral:rRNA from 1 species